GCCGGGGUAGCCAAGCCAGGUAAGGCGUCGGAUUUGAGAUCCGAUGGCCCUUCGGGCCUCCUGGGUUCAAAUCCCAGCCCCGGCG
rnacentral:tRNA from 1 species